CACUUUUAUUCUGUUACGUUAACAGAAGAAGAAGCCGAGGCCGGAUUGAUAUGUAAAGUGCAGUCAUCUGCUAAGAACAAAUUCAAGUUACUUUACUUUGAUCAAGAAGAGAAUGGAGGACUGAGAUUGGCCCUACAGGAAGACAGCAGGAAAACAGGAAAGCUCUCAACUGCAGGGUUAUACUUUUUCGGUUUUCCUGUUUACCGUUUCGAUCACAGGGUUAAUUCAGUUAACUAUCUUCUCUUCCCUCUUAAGUUCACACUUUUAUA